GACGAACGCUGGCGGCGUGCCUAAUACAUGCGAGUCGAACGCUUCUUUCCUCCCGAGUGCUUGCACUCAAUUGGAAAGAGGAGUGGCGGACGGGUGAGUAACACGUGGGUAACCUACCCAUCAGAGGGGGAUGACACUUGGAAACAGGUGCUAAUACCGCAUAACAGUUUAUGCCGCAUGGCAUAAGAGUGAAAGGCGCUUUCGGGUGUCGCUGAUGGAUGGACCCGCGGUGCAUUAGCUAGUUGGUGAGGUAACGGCUCACCAAGGCCACGAUGCAUAGCCGACCUGAGAGGGUGAUCGGCCACACUGGGACUGAGACACGGCCCAGACUCCUACGGGAGGCAGCAGUAGGGAAUCUUCGGCAAUGGACGAAAGUCUGACCGAGCAACGCCGCGUGAGUGAAGAAGGUUUUCGGAUCGUAAAACUCUGUUGUUAGAGAAGAACAAGGACGUUAGUAACUGAACGUCCCCUGACGGUAUCUAACCAGAAAGCCACGGCUAACUACGUG
rnacentral:rRNA from 1 species